AGCAUCAUCAAAGCUUGCUUUGAUGGAUGGCGACCGGCGCACGGGUGAGUAACACGUAUCCAACCUGCCGACAACACUGGGAUAGCCUUUCGAAAGAAAGAUUAAUACCGGAUGGCAUAAUUAUUCCGCAUGGGUAUGAUUAUUAAAGAAUUUCGGUCAUCGAUGGGGAUGCGUUCCAUUAGUUUGUUGGCGGGGUAACGGCCCACCAAGACUACGAUGGAUAGGGGUUCUGAGAGGAAGGUCCCCACAUUGGAACUGAGACACGGUGCAAACUCC
rnacentral:rRNA from 1 species